rnacentral:rRNA from 1 species
AUUGAACGCUGGCGGCAUGCUUUACACAUGCAAGUCGAACGGUAACAGGGUGCUUGCACCGCUGACGAGUGGCGAACGGGUGAGUAAUGCGUCGGAACGUGCCGAGUAGUGGGGGAUAACGCAUCGAAAGGUGUGCUAAUACCGCAUACGUACUGAGGUAGAAAGUGGGGGACCUUCGGGCCUCACGCUAUUCGAGCGGCCGACGUCUGAUUAGCUAGUUGGUGAGGUAAAGGCUCACCAAGGCGACGAUCAGUAGCGGGUCUGAGAGGAUGAUCCGCCACACUGGGACUGAGACACGGCCCAGACUCCUACGGGAGGCAGCAGUGGGGAAUUUUGGACAAUGGGCGCAAGCCUGAUCCAGCCAUGCCGCGUGUCUGAAGAAGGCCUUCGGGUUGUAAAGGACUUUUGUCCGGGAGCAAAUGCCUGGUGUUAAUAGCACUGGGAGCUGAGAGUACCGGAAGAAUAAGCACCGGCUAACUACGUGCCAGCAGCCGCAGUAAGAC